CAUAUUCUCAAGAGUUGAAAAUUUAAGCCAUGUAUCAUUGGUGAUUAAUUUCUAAAUGCUCCUGAUCAAUGGAUCAUCACGAGGACGGUGAUCGAUCCGAUCAGUGCAUAGAUUGCUUUCCUUAUGGAUGGACGAGACUCGAGUCCACAGUGUAGGGACACUGAAGUGAGAGUGCAGGUGCUUGUUAGAGAAUAAGGGUACUGAGCGUGACCAAGACAAGAAGUCACG
rnacentral:lncRNA from 1 species